UGGCUCAGUUGGUAGAGCACGGUAUUUGCAACGCCAGGGUUGUGGGUUCGAUUCCCAC
rnacentral:tRNA from 1 species